UCGGACGUGGUGCACGGUGCAAUUCCGCUUGUUGUUACUGCUGCACAAGUUACAAAUGCGGGAAGACCGGGUUCGACUCCCGGCGUCCGAA